AGAGUUUGAUCCUGGCUCAGGAUGAACGCUAGCGGCGUGCCUAAGGUAUGCAAGUCGACCGUGAAGUAGGCUUCGGCUCACUUCACGGGGCAAACGGCUGAGUAACGCGUGAGAACUUACCUCUAACAUGAGAAUAACCCUGCGAAAGCGGGAAUAAUGCUCAAUGGUUCGAGCCACAUGCUUGCAUGUAGCUCGAUAAAGCUCCGGCGGUUAGAGAAAGGCUCGCGUCCUAUCAGGUUGUUGGUGGGGUAACGGCCUACCAAGCCUAAGACGGGUAGCUGGUCUGAGAGAUGGUCAGCCAGACUGGGACUGCGACACGGCCCAGACUCCUACGGGAGGCAGCAAUUAGGAAUCUUGCGCAAUGGGGGAAACCCUGACGCAGCGACGCCGCGUGGUGGAUGAAUGCCUUCGGGUUGUAAACACCUUUUGUAGAGGAACAACACUGAGCUUACUUUACGAAUAAGCGCCCGCUAACUAUGUGCCAGAAGCGUCGGUGAUACAUAGGGCGCUAGCGUUAUCCGGAAUUACUGGGCGUAAAGAGAUGCGUAGGCGUCUUGACAAGUUUUAUGUUAAAUCCUGGUGCUCAACAUCAGAAGUGCAUAGAAAACUAUCAGGAUUGAGACAGAAAGGGGAGAGGGGAAUUUCUGGUGAAGCGGUGAAAUGCGUUGAUACCAGAAAGAACACCGAGGGCGAAGGCACCUCUCUGGUUCUGUUCUGACGCUAAGGCUCGAAAGCGUGGGGAGCAAAACGGAUUAGAUACCCGUGUAGUCCACGCCGUAAACGAUCCUCGUUAGAUGUUCGUUUCAAAUGCAGGUGUGUAACUUCGCUUAGAUGCCUAAUUUGAAAUGGGUGUCGUAGCUAACGCGUUAAACGAGGCGCCUGGGGAGUACGACCGCAAGGUUAAAACUCAAAGGAAUUGACGGGGACCCGCACAAGCGGUGGAGCGUGUGGUUUAAUUCGACGAUAAGCGAAGAACCUUAUCCAAGGCUUGACAUGUAGCUGCAAUCCCGAUGAAAGUCGGGACUCCUUCGAGGGUGCUACACAGGUGCUGCAUGGCUGUCGUCAGCUCGUGUCGUGAGAUGUUGGGUUAAGUCCCACAACGAGCGCAACCCCUGUUGCUAGUUAUAAUUUCUAGCGAAACUGCCCUGCCAAAACGGGGAGGAAGGUGGGGAUGACGUCUAGUCCUCAUAGCCCUUAUGCCUUGGGCUACACACGCGCUACAAUGGGAGGUACAAAGGGUUGCCAAACCGCGAGGUGGAGCUAAUCCCUAAAACCUCUCUCAGUUCGGAUUGUAGGCUGCAAUUCGCCUGCAUGAAGUCGGAAUCGCUAGUAAUCGUGGAUCAGCAUGCCACGGUGAAUACGUUCUCGGGUCUUGUACACACCGCCUGUCAUGUUGUGGAAGUCGGUAGUACCCGAAUCCUGUAUAUUUUUAUGGGAGAAGGUAAGAUCGGCGACUGUAAUAAAGUCAUAACAAGGUA
rnacentral:rRNA from 1 species